GAGCGGUAACUCAUGAACGACUGGCCGGGUCGUCACACUAGGAGGUCACAAGUUUGAGCCGUGGAAAUAACCUCUUAUAGAAAUGUAGGGUAAUAUUGCGUACGAUAGACCCUUAUGAUACGACCCUUCCCCGGACCCCGCGCAUAGCGGAAGCUUAGUACACCGGGUUGUCCUUUUUUUACAUAUUAACAUGAAAGGCUUGGAUGGUAUUUAAGACCAAUUUAUGUUUGAACAUUUUGUGCAUUAUAUGGCUAUGAUCUAUAUGUGAUUGCUGGCCUAGGUGAUGUUGUUGCAAUUGUGGUGAUUCAAGAAAGUCUAAGUUCAAGAACACUUACCUUUUUUCAGGAAAAAGAAAGUACAAGUCCAAGAAGAAAAGUGUCAAGGGUUUACUCUGCUAUCCAUUCCAGUUGUAUGCCUUCUCACUAAAAAAUUUGUCUCUCCAACACUUAACAAAUUUGCAAGCAUGUGGUUCAUGGCUCUCUUCCUUCCAAUCAUAGUCACUAGUUUGCUCGAGCUGCAAUUAGAGUAGACUAUGCAAUGAGGUCUGGUGCGUAUUGUGAUUGAAGCUAUUUUAGUAGGCACAUCUUCAGAGCAUAUAAGCUACAUCUUCAUAGAAACAUAUGAUGUUCUUUUUUGUUCUUCUGUUAUAAAAAUAUUUACUUGGUAGAACUUCAAUUUUGCGACACGUUGCUUAUUUCAAAUGUAUUACAGUUAAUAGUCUCAGCCUUAUUAUAACUUAAGUUUAUAGACAUAAAACCAGCAUAUUGCAUAGGAAAAUAUUAAAACCAUUUGAAAUUCCUCCUCCUGUGCCUUGAUCUGCCUCACUUACUCCUGCACUGCAGUAGCUUCCUCAUCCUCCAGUGAUGUCCCUACAUUUUCCAUCAGAGAAUCAUCGGCUUCAUCACUGACAACAGUGUUCCACUUGGUUGACCAUAAUGAUUUACUUGAGCUUGUUUAAACUAACAGUCCAUCUCUAGGAGGGGAAAUGAGAACCCUCCAUCUACGUUAUUCAUUUUCUGCACCAAACUUCCUGUGGGUUUUUUCUUGUGGUAGCUGGAUGCAUGGGUAAACCUAAAGGUCUCUAACGCCAAUAUCGGCCAUGAACGAGUAUCACAAACUUCAAGAAUACUUGGUGUUGCC